AUUGAGUUGUCAUUUAUUGGAUAAACAUCGUAAGAUAUUUUUAUUAUAUGGCAUCCCAAGAGACUACAUUGAUUUAUAUUUGUAGUUUUUAUAUGUAGACUACAUAUGAAUGAAUUAAUAAUACACGAUGAAUUACUUCAUAAUGUAGUAAUUCAUUGGGAGUGAAUUUUGAAACAACACCAUUAGGUAAUGCUGCCAUAGAGUCAAUAAGUUGUAAUUUAUUCAAUAAACAAGCUAUAUUUGGGUGACUUGGAUGUAAUUACUAAAUCUAUCAGGUGCAGCUUGAGAAGCAGAAAAAUAUGGAUAACGAGAAGUAUCAGACGUUACUCCGUGGAAGCAUCCUUAAACUUUUUAAACAACAUCGUUUCGAAUAAAUCAUAUACGUCAAACCUGGAAUCUAUAGAGUUAGACAAUGAAAUCAUUGCGAAGAAAAUACUACGAAAUAUCGUAUUUCUCGACUUUUCACGUUCAUCUCACUUAGUAAACAAUGCAAGGCUUAUUUAAAAACUGAGCAAAUAUGGCAUAAAAGGUCAACUAUAAAAAUAAUAACAAAUAAGAUAAAUGAUAUAAUAAUAUUAGGUUAAUUGUCUGGAUUCGGAAGUUUUUAACAAAUUGAUGACAGCAAGUUGUUCUGUUGUUCCGGCGCAUAUUUCAUCAACUGACAGCACGCAGAUUGAAAAUGACGCUUGUAAAAAGAUCAUCAAGGAUGCGAUGAGAUAGAGGAAGAAGUUGGGGAGGUGCUAACGCAUACCCUUAAUCAACUAGGUGGAGUUAACUAAGUCGUAGAUGUUAAGUUGCUACCUGUAAAGUUUAUUCUUAGAUACAUCUAAGCAAAACUUACAGCUGAUGCUCAAAAUAAAAAUGUGUUGCAGCGACAUUUCAAAGAAAAUUCUGACAGUACGGGCUAGCAUGUGUUAUGUUAUAUAAUCAGAUAAAGAAGUUUUUUUUUUUAAUUGUUAAGUAAAUAAAUGAUUAAAUGUUCUUAAAUAAUUAAAAAAUAAUUAUUUAAAAUUUCAAAGCAUUAUUCCAAUGUUAGUUAACAGCAUAAUUAAACUUACAAUUUAAAG